UUUCUACCAAGUCCUUUCCCACUUUCUCCCCAGUCUCUGCUCAGUUCUUUCCCAGUUUCUCCCCAGUUCUUUCCCAGUUUCUCCCCAGUUCCUUCCCAGUUUCUGCUCAGCUCUUUCCCAGUUUCUCCCCAGUUUCUGCCCAGUUCUUCCCCAUUUUCUGCUCAGCUCUUUCCCAGUUUCUCCCCAGUUUCUGCUCAGCUCUUUCCCACUUUCUCCCCAGUUUCUACUCCAUUUCUGCCCAGUUUCCACCCAGUUUCUACCAAGUCCUUUCCCACUUUCUCCCCAGUUUCUGCCCAGUCUCUGCUCAGUUCUUUCCCAGUUUCUCCCCAGUUCUUUCCCAGUUCCUGCCCAAUUUCUUCCCAGUUUCUCCCCAGUUUCUACUCCAUUUCUGCCCAGUUUCCACCAAGUCCUUUCCCACUUUCUCCCCACUUUCUGCCCAGUCCCUUCCCAGCUCCUGCCCAAUUCUUACCCAGUUUCUACUCCAUUUUUGCCCAGUUCCUGCCCAUUUUCUACCCAGUUUCUGCCCAGGUCUUUCCCAGUUCCUGCCCAGUUUCUUCCCAUUUCCUGCCCAGUUAUUUCCCAGUUUCUGUCCAGUUUCUCCCAAGUUCUUCCUCACUUUCUGCCCAUUUCCUGCCCAUUUCUGCCCAUUUCUUGCCAUUUCUGCCCAGUUUCCAGCUCCGCCCAGUUUCUACCCAGUUUCUGCUCAGUCUCUGCCCAGUUUCUACCCAGUUCUUUCCCAGUUUCUACCCAGUUCUUUCCCAGUUUCUGCUCAGUACUUUCCCAGUUCCUGCCCAAUUUCUUCCCAGCUUUUACCCAGUUUCUGCCCAGUUCUUUCCCAGUUUCUCCCCAGUUCUUUCCCAGUUUUUACCCAGUUUCUACCCAAUUUCUGCCCAGUCCCUGCCCAUUUCCUGCCCACUUUCGCAGGAAACCGGCCGGGAAUGUCGCAAUCCCGGGCAGGGACACGCCCGUCCUGUGUCCCCUUUGUGUCCCCUUUGUGUCCCCUCGGAGCUGGGACAUUCCCGGAGCCGGGUUUGGCUCGGGUGACUCAUUCCAGGCGGGAUUGGCACCGGGAUUGUCCCGGGAUCGGCACCGGGAUUGGCACCGGGAUUGGCACCGGGAUUGGCACCGCCCGCGCCACCUUUGCACCCCCGGGGCCGCUGCCAAGCGAAACCCAGGCGGGAAAAUCGGGAUCGGGAGGGGAAAAUCGGGACUUUUUUGGGGAAAAUGGGGAUUUAGGAGGAAAAAAUCGGGAUUUAGGGGGGAAAAACGGGAUUUUUUUGGGGGAAAAACGGGAUUUUUUGGGGGGAAAAUCGGGAUUUAGGGGGGAAAAAAAUCGGGAUUUUGGGGGAAAAAAAUCGGGAUUUGGGGGGAAGAAAAUCGGGGUU
rnacentral:lncRNA from 1 species